rnacentral:rRNA from 1 species
UGGGAUACUACCCUAGCUGUGUUGGCUUUCUAACCCGCACCACUUAUCGUGGUGGGAGACAGUGUCAGGCGGGCAGUUUGACUGGGGCGGUCGCCUCCUAAAAGGUAACGGAGGCGCUCAAAGGUUCCCUCAGAAUGGUUGGAAAUCAUUCAUAGAGUGUAAAGGCAUAAGGGAGCUUGACUGCGAGACCUACAAGUCGAGCAGGGUCGAAAGACGGACUUAGUGAUCCGGUGGUUCCGCAUGGAAGGGCCAUCGCUCAACGGAUAAAAGCUACCCCGGGGAUAACAGGCUUAUCUCCCCCAAGAGUUCACAUCGACGGGGAGGUUUGGCACCUCGAUGUCGGCUCAUCGCAUCCUGGGGCUGUAGUCGGUCCCAAGGGUUGGGCUGUUCGCCCAUUAAAGCGGUAC